rnacentral:rRNA from 1 species
GACGAACGCUGGCGGCGUGCUUAACACAUGCAAGUCGAACGGAAAGGCCCUGCUUGCAGGGUACUCGAGUGGCGAACGGGUGAGUAACACGUGGGUGAUCUGCCCUGCACUUCGGGAUAAGCCUGGGAAACUGGGUCUAAUACCGGAUAGGAGCCAUUUUUAGUGUGAUGGUUGGAAAGUUUUUUCGGUGUAGGAUGAGCUCGCGGCCUAUCAGCUUGUUGGUGGGGUAAUGGCCUACCAAGGCGGCAACGGGUAGCCGGCCUGAGAGGGUGGACGGCCACAUUGGGACUGAGAUACGGCCCAGACUCCUACGGGAGGCAGCAGUGGGGAAUAUUGCACAAUGGGCGCAAGCCUGAUGCAGCGACGCCGCGUGGGGGAUGACGGCCUUCGGGUUGUAAACUCCUUUCGCUAGGGACGAAGCUUUUGUGACGGUACCUAGAUAAGAAGCACCGGCUAACUACGUG